AAUUUAUAUUUAUUAUAGGAAUUGGCUCAUGCUGUUGAUGGAGGCCAAGAAGUUCCACAAUCUGCCAUAUCCAAGCUGGAGAACCAGGAAAGCCUGUGGUGUAAUUCAGCUCCAGUCUGAAGGCCUGUGAGUGAGAGUGUGGGUUGGGGAGCCUGGUGGUGUCAGUCCUGCUCUCUGCCUGAAAGCCCCAGGACUAAAAGCACCAAUGUCUGAGGACAAAAAUGGAUGUCCCAACUCAAACCGAAGGCAAAUUGACCUUUCUCCCACCUUUUUGUUGCAUUCAGGCCCUCAGUGGAUUAGAUGAUGCCCAUUGGGGAAGAGGUCUGAAGACUUGAAUCUAGGACAAAUCUGGGAGCUUGGUAGCAAGCAAAGAAACUAAGACUGGAUAAGAGGUGGGAUGAAGGUAAAAAAUGAUGUCGUCAUCUGUAUCUGCCUUUCUGAGGGGAUCGCUGGACAUGGUAUUGAGAAGACAGGGUUCUGUGUCCCUGACAGUGCACAUGUCACACUGAAAUCUGCUGAGAUAAAACAACUGGACAAGGACAAGAUAGUGUGUCAUCUGAGGCCAAAACAGGAUUGUGGGGUCCUCAUCUGCAAUAGACACGCACCAGAAAUGUAAAGGCAAGUGCAGUGAUAUGUGAGUCCUCAGCUCCAUUCAUUUUGUUGGUUUUAAAUUUCAUUUAUCAAUAUCUCUGGUUUCUUUAAUUCAGGUCAUUAUCAAAUAAUGCAAAUAAUAACUAACAUAUUAAUAACUUAUAAUGUGCAGAUACUGUUGUUAAAUAGUUAAAAUGUGUCAGUUUCAGGUAGGGACAAUGUUCCUUUACAGAUGAGGAAACGGAAGCCCAGAGAGGCUAGAUAACCUGACCCUGCAUACAACCUAGGCUUAUAGAGGCAACAGCCUGUGUUGUCACCUACUCCAGACUCCUCUAUCUCGGGACUCGGGACUUUUGGGUUGCUAAGAACUGAACUCCUGAUUUUAUCUGUUGCAUCAGAUGACGCUCCAACCAACUGAACUACCCAGCCUGUUUCCAUUCCCCCCGCACCACCUGAUGGGAAGUAGUAUAUAAAGAGGGCUGAAAAUAGAGAAAAUGAAGGAAGAAGAACUCAAUUUUACA